rnacentral:rRNA from 1 species
AUUGAACGCUGGCGGCAGGCCUAACACAUGCAAGUCGAGCGCGCGGCGGACGGGUGUGUAAUGUCUGGGGAUCUGCCUGUUGGAGGGGGAUAACGACUGGAAACGGUAGCUAAUACCGCAUACCAUCAGAUGAACCCAUAUGAGAUUAGCUUGUAGGUGUUGUAACGGCUCACCUAGGCCACGACGCCUAGCUGGUCUGAGAGGAUGAUCAGCCACACUGGGACUGAGAAACGGCCCAGACUCCUACGUGAGGAAGCAGUGGGGAAUAGUGCACAAUGGGCGCAAGCCUGAUGCAGCCAUGCCGCGGGUAUGAAGAAGGCCUUCGGGUUGUAAAGUACUUUAAGUCGGGAGGCGUUACCGACAGAAUAAGCACCGGCUAACUCCGUGCCAGCAGCCGCGGUAAUUC